rnacentral:rRNA from 1 species
GACGAACGCUGGCGGCGUGCUUAACACAUGCAAGUCGAACGGUAAGGCCCUUCGGGGUACACGAGUGGCGAACGGGUGAGUAACACGUGGGUGAUCUGCCCUGCACUUCGGGAUAAGCCUGGGAAACUGGGUCUAAUACCGGAUAGGACCACUGCCUGCAUGGGUGGUGGUGGAAAGCUUUUGCGGUGUGGGAUGGGCCCGCGGCCUAUCAGCUUGUUGGGGGGGUGAUGGCCUACCAAGGCGACGACGGGUAGUCGGCCUGCGAGGGUGACCGGCCAACCUGGGACGGAGAUACGGCCCAGACUCCUACGGGAGGCAGCAGUGGGGAAUAUUGCACAAUGGGCGCAAGCCUGAUGCAGCGACGCCGCGUGAGGGAUGACGGCCUUCGGGUUGUAAACCUCUUUCAGCACCGACGAAGCGCAAGUGACGGUAGGUGCAGAGGAAGGACCGGCCAACUACGUGCCAGCAGCCGCCGUAA